rnacentral:rRNA from 1 species
AUUGAACGCUGGCGGCAUGCCUUACACAUGCAAGUCGAACGGUAACGGGCCUUCGGGUGCCGACGAGUGGCGAACGGGUGAGUAAUGUAUCGGAACGUACCUUUCAGUGGGGGAUAACGUAGCGAAAGUUACGCUAAUACCGCAUAUUCUGUGAGCAGGAAAGCAGGGGAUCGCAAGACCUUGCGCUGAUUGAGCGGCCGAUAUCAGAUUAGCUAGUUGGUGAGGUAAAGGCUCACCAAGGCGACGAUCUGUAGCGGGUCUGAGAGGAUGAUCCGCCACACUGGAACUGAGACACGGUCCAGACUCCUACGGGAGGCAGCAGUGGGGAAUUUUGGACAAUGGGGGCAACCCUGAUCCAGCCAUGCCGCGUGAGUGAAGAAGGCCUUCGGGUUGUAAACUGCUUUUGUACGGAACGAAAAGCUCUCUCUAAUACAGGGGUGAAUGACGGUACCGUAAGAAUAAGCACCGGCUAACUACGUGCCAGCAGCCGCGGUAAG